GACGAACGCUGGCGGCGUGCUUAACACAUGCAAGUCGAACGGAAAGGCCCUGCUUGCAGGGUACUCGAGUGGCGAACGGGUGAGUAACACGUGGGUGAUCUGCCCUGCACUUCGGGAUAAGCUUGGGAAACUGGGUCUAAUACCGGAUAGGAGCCAUCUUUAGUGUGGUGGUUGGAAAGUUUUUUCGGUGUAGGAUGAGCUCGCGGCCUAUCAGCUUGUUGGUGGGGUAAUGGCCUACCAAGGCGGCGACGGGUAGCCGGCCUGAGAGGGUGUACGGCCACAUUGGGACUGAGAUACGGCCCAGACUCCUACGGGAGGCAGCAGUGGGGAAUAUUGCACACUGGGCGCACGUCCGAUGCAGCGACGCCGCCUGGGGCAUGAAGGGCUUCCGGUUGUACACUCCUCUCUCUAGGGACGAAGCUCUUUAGUGACGGUACCUAGAUAAGAAGCACCGGCUAACUACGUG
rnacentral:rRNA from 1 species